AAGCUCGUAGUUGAAUUUCGGGGUUAGUAGGUUGGUCAUGCCUCUGGUAUGUACUGGUCUCACUGAUUCCUCCUUCCUUAUGAACCGUAAUGCCAUUAAUUUGGUGUUGCGGGGAAUUUGGACUGUUACUUUGAAAAAAUUAGAGUGUUUAAAGCAAGCUAACGCUUGAAUACAUUAGCAUGGAAUAAUGAAAUAGGACGUUCGAUCUUAUUUUGUUGGUUUCUAGGAUUGACGUAAUGAUUAAUAAGGAUAGUUGGG
rnacentral:rRNA from 1 species